rnacentral:rRNA from 1 species
GAUGGUUCGAUUAGUCUUUCGCCCCUAUACCCAGUUCAUACGAUCGAUUUGCACGUCAGAAUCGCUACGGACCUCCAUCAGGGUUUCCCCUGACUUCAUCCUGACCAGGCAUAGUUCACCAUCUUUCGGGUCCCAGCGUGUACGCUCUUGGUGCGCCGCAACUUGCAAUAAGUACGCGACGCCCCGGGAAUGCGAGGUAACAUAAAUAACGUUACCCAUCUUCCCUUUAUAAUAAUAAAUAAUUUAUAUUAUAUAUAUUCACUUUCAUUACGCCUUUAGGUUUAUUAUAAAUACCCAAUGACUUGCGCACAUGCUAGAUG